UACGUAGGGUGCGAGCGUUAAUCGGAAUUACUGGGCGUAAAGCGCACGUAGGCGGAUCUUUAAGUCAGGGGUGAAAUCCCAAGGCUCAACCUUGGAACUGCCUUUGAUACUGGGGAUCUCGAGUCCGGAAGAGGUUGGUGGAACUGCGAGUGUAGAGGUGAAAUUCGUAGAUAUUCGCAAGAACACCAGUGGCGAAGGCGGCCAACUGGUCCGGUACUGACGCUGAGGUGCGAAAGCGUGGGGAGCAAACAGG
rnacentral:rRNA from 1 species